GCAGCGCGGUAGGCCAUGGCAAGCCACUGAAUGUGGCUCGGUGUGACGAGAAGCCUUUGGAGGAUUUGGAAAUGAAGAUUAACAUCACCUGAUUUGCAUUCUAAAAGUCUGCUAGUUCGCUGUGGUUCCCUUCCGACAACACACAGGAAACCUACAGGUCUAACAAAAAAAGAAAGAAAAAAGAAAGCCU